UCGAGGGGCAGCGAGUAGAUUGCUUGCAAUCUACGUCGGCGACCGGCGCACGGGUGCGUAACGCGUAUGCAACCUACCCAUUACAGGGGGAUAACACUGAGAAAUCGGUACUAAUACCCCAUAACAUCCAGGGAGGCAUCUUCUUGGGUUGAAAACUCCGGUGGUAAUGGAUGGGCAUGCGUUGUAUUAGUUAAUUGGUGGGGUAACGGCUCACCAAGACGACGAUACAUAGGGGGACUGAGAGGUUAACCCCCCACAUUGGUACUGAGACACGGACCAAACUCCUACGGGAGGCAGCAGUGAGGAAUAUUGGUCAAUGGACGCAAGUCUGAACCAGCCAUGCCGCGUGCAGGAAGACGGCUCUAUGAGUUGUAAACUGCUUUUGUACGAGGGUAAACGCAGAUACGUGUAUCUGUCUGAAAGUAUCGUACGAAUAAGGAUCGGCUAACUCCGUGCCAGCAGCCGCGGUAAUACGGAGGAUUCAAGCGUUAUCCGGAUUUAUUGGGUUUAAAGGGUGCGUAGGCGGUCGGAUAAGUUAGAGGUGAAAUCCCGGGGCUCAACUUCGGAAUUGCCUCUGAUACUGUUCGGCUAGAGAGUAGUUGCGGUAGGCGGAAUGUAUGGUGUAGCGGUGAAAUGCUUAGAGAUCAUACAGAACACCGAUUGCGAAGGCAGCUUACCAAGCUACUUCUGACGUUGAGGCACGAAAGCGUGGGGAGCAAACAGGAUUAGAUACCCUGGUAGUCCACGCAGUAAACGAUGAUAACUCGUUGUCGGCGAUACAAUGUCGGUGACUAAGCGAAAGCGAUAAGUUAUC
rnacentral:rRNA from 1 species